UUUUACCUGGGGGUCGGAAGUGGGCGCAAUGCACGGUAAUUGACAGUGUAUUGCACCACUUCCGGCCUUCGGGUGAGUC
rnacentral:pre_miRNA from 1 species